GUACACGCUGUGACUAGCAUAUCAAUAAGCGGAGGAAAAGAAACUAACAAGGAUUCCCCUAGUAACGGCGAGUGAAGCGGGAAGAGCUCAAAUUUGAAAUCUUAAAGGGCUUCCCUUUACGAAUUGUAGUUUAAAGAAGUGUUUUCUGUUGAGGUUUUGGUAAAAGUUCUUUGGAAUAGGACAUCAUAGAGGGUGAGAAUCCCGUAUUUGACCUUUACUUUCAACUUUGUGAUACACUUUCAAAGAGUCGGAUUGUUUGGGAAUGCAGUCCAAAAUGGGUGGUAAAUUUCAUCUAAAGCUAAAUAUUGGCGAGAGACCGAUAGCGAACAAGUACCGUGAGGGAAAGAUGAAAGAACUUUGAAAAGAGAGUUAAACAGUACGUGAAAUUGUCAAAAGGGAAGCGUUUGACACCAGUGUUGUUUUUCUGAAAAUCAAUUAAAGAACUGUUUAUGCUAAGUUGUUUAGACUUUAUCAGCUAUCUGUUUAGUUUUGAGCUUUUCUUUAAUGCACUUUUCAGUUAACAAGUCAACAUCAAUUUCUUUUGCUGUAAAAAAGCUUGAGGAAGGUGGCUUGAGAUUCGUCUUAAGUGUUUAUAGCCUCUUGCCUAUGCAGUCGGAGAGAUUGAGGUCUGCAGCGUAGAUCCUUCGGGGCUAAAUGCAUUUGUGCUAAGUUAUAGCAUUUUAUAGACAACUUGUUGACUAUGAUUUGUCUUGUAGCUUACUCGCUUAUGUUAUUUUACCUACGCUUAGGAUGUUGAGUCGUAGAGCACGCA
rnacentral:rRNA from 1 species